GGCUUUAAUAACUCCAAAGACAUGUUGCUGCACCUCUUUUUGCUUCUAUCUCACAUUAUAGGACUAACAGCUGGAGACUCAAUCACUCCUCAACAAACUGAAGUCACUGAAACAGAAGGAGAAUCUGUCAAACUCACAUGUAACUAUGAGAC